GGAUCGAUGAUGACACCCUCACAGCAUCCUUGGAAAAUAUGAACAAAAUGAGUGAGAAAUUGAUACCAUCUCCUCAUCGAAACUGAGGUCC
ensembl:snoRNA SNORD116 Small nucleolar RNA SNORD116